AACUUUCAUCAACGGAUCUCUUGGCUCUCGCAUCGAUGAAGAACGCAGCGAAAUGCGAUACGUAAUGUGAAUUGCAGAAUUCAGUGAAUCAUCGAAUCUUUGAACGCAUAUUGCGCUCUUUGGUAUUCCGAAGAGCAUGCUUGUUUGAGUAUCAGUAAACACCUCAACCUCCUUUUGUUUUUUCAAAAGGAGGGUGGACUUGGGCUAUCCCAACAACCUUCACCGGUAGGCGGGCGGCUUGAAAUGCAGGUGCAGCUGGACUUUUAUCUGAGCUAAAAGCAUAUCUAUUUAGUCCUCGUCAAACAGGAUUAUUACUAUUGCUGCAGCUAACAUAAAGGAUAAUUGUCCUCAUUGCUGACUGAUGCAGGAUUUUACGACACUUUAUGUGUUGUUCAACUCGAUCUCAAAUCAAGUAAGACUACCCGCUGAACUUAAGCAUAUCAAUAAGCGGAGGCU
rnacentral:misc_RNA from 1 species